ACUAUUUUGGCAGAAAAAUGUUAUGAAUUUAGAAUUCAUAUAUGUAGGCUAAUAUCCUACAAAUAGUA
rnacentral:tRNA from 1 species